UGGGGAAUAUUGCACAAUGGGCGCAAGCCUGAUGCAGCCAUGCCGCGUGUGUGAAGAAGGCCUUCGGGUUGUAAAGCACUUUCAGCGGGGAGGAAGGCGGUGAGGUUAAUAACCUCACCGAUUGACGUUACCCGCAGAAGAAGCACCGGCUAACUCCGUGCCAGCAGCCGCGGUAAUACGGAGGGUGCAAGCGUUAAUCGGAAUUACUGGGCGUAAAGCGCACGCAGGCGGUCUGUCAAGUCGGAUGUGAAAUCCCCGGGCUCAACCUGGGAACUGCAUUCGAAAGUGGCAGGCUAGAGUCCUGUAGAGGGGGGUAGAAUUCCAGGUGUAGCGGUGAAAUGCGUAGAGAUCUGGAGGAAUACCGGUGGCGAAGGCGGCCCCCUGGACAAAGACUGACGCUCAGGUGCGAAAGCGUGGGGAGCAAACAGG
rnacentral:rRNA from 1 species